UACGUAGGGUGCGAGCGUUGUCCGGAAUUAUUGGGCGUAAAGAGCUCGUAGGCGGUGUGUCGCGUCGGUCGUGAAAACUUGGGGCUUAACCCUGAGCUUGCGGUCGAUACGGGCAUCACUGGAGUUCGGCAGGGGAGACUGGAAUUCCUGGUGUAGCGGUGGAAUGCGCAGAUAUCAGGAGGAACACCGAUGGCGAAGGCAGUUCUCUGGGCCGUAACUGACGCUGAGGAGCGAAAGCGUGGGGAGCGAACAGG
rnacentral:rRNA from 1 species